GCUGCCUAGUUUGACAGUUUGAGUUCAGAGCUGUGCAAGCAGUGAUUGACAUCUGCUUUAGACGCUGCUUUGCUCUGAAUUUCCCUCGGGUGCGUGGAAUCGUGCAAAUGCCAAAGUUACCAACUGCAGCUUUAUGACAGGUGUCAUUUGUUACGCACUGUUAGAUGUGCAGCCUCAAUGGAUGACAUCUAGGAAGAAGAGGAACAUGAUACAGACAGAUCUGUGCUGAAGCUCUGAGAGAAAACACAGGAGGUGUUGGGGAGGAGGAGCAGAACGAAUGGAGACGAGAACAUCAAGGUGAGGAGAGGUGGACCUGAAGAAGACAACGGUCUGUACACAGCUGGAAACUACAACAGUCAAAUGACAUGAUGUUUAUAUUUGAAUGAUUGUGUGUCUGUAAUGUUGUUUUUUUUGUGUCUCCGUCCUCCAGAAAACGCUGGAGGAGCAGCUGGAGAACCAGAGGAAGGCAAAUCAUAAUAAAGUAUGUCGAAAAAACUUCAUGGUAUAGUAUUUUGCCAAAAAAGUCAUUAAAAAGUUUU